rnacentral:lncRNA from 1 species
ACUGCUCUGCAAAUAUGAACUGAACUGAAAUCUCCAUAUUCAUUUCACAAAGAUGUUUCCUUAUUUUCUCCCAGAUCAUCCAGGAAAACACUACUGUAUGGGUGGAUGACCAAAAAUCAGGGUUUCCCUGCCUGCUUUUAAGCAGGAUCAGUUAUUCAUGACUUUUCCAAAAGAU